rnacentral:rRNA from 1 species
UACAGAGGUCUCAAGCGUUGUUCGGAUUCAUUGGGCGUAAAGGGUGCGUAGGCGGCGCGGUAAGUCGGGUGUGAAAUCUUGGAGCUUAACUCCGAAACUGCAUUCGAUACUGCCGUGCUUGAGGACUGGAGAGGAGACUGGAAUUUACGGUGUAGCGGUGAAAUGCGUAGAUAUCGGGAGGAACACCGGUGGCGAAGGCGGCUCUCUGGACCACUACUGACGCUGAGGCGCGAAAGCUAGGGGAGCAAACAGG